rnacentral:rRNA from 1 species
UAUACGACUCUCGGCAACGGAUAUCUCGGCUCUUGCAUCGAUGAAGAACGUAGCGAAAUGUGAUACUUGGUGUGAAUUGCAGAAUCCCGUGAACCAUCGAGUCUUUGAACGCAAGUUGCGCCCGAGGCCUUUCGGUUGAGGGCACGCCUGCCUGGGCGUCACGC